rnacentral:rRNA from 1 species
UACAGAGGGUGCGAGCGUUGUUCGGAAUUACUGAGCGUAAAGGGCGCGUAGGCGGUCAGCACAAGUCAGUUGUGAAAUCUCCGAGCUUAACUCGGAACGGUCAACUGAUACUGUGCGACUAGAGUGCGGAAGGGGCAACUGGAAUUCUCGGUGUAGCGGUGAAAUGCGUAGAUAUCGAGAGGAACACCUGCGGCGAAGGCGGGUUGCUGGGCCGACACUGACGCUGAUGCGCGAAAGCCAGGGGAGCGAACGGG